CUUUGAGAAAUCUUUACAGUGUCAUAAAGGUGAAUAAAUGAUGGCAUCAUUUGUGUCAGCUAAAAUUCUGUCAUUAACUGUAUUUAUUAUUGAUUGUCAGAUUUUGAAGAAAGCUUUCUACAGUGGAUACCAAGAUACCGUAUACUUCCUGCAGCAGAGCAACGCGCUGCCACUGUAUCCUCAACGGAGAAAGGAGUCUGAUGCAUCUGAUGAUUCGGCGAGCUCAGAUCACUGGAUGCUGACACAGACUGAUCGUGCUGAAGAAGAGGAAUCCCAGCAGGACUGCCCUGAACAACCUGAACAGAAGACCGCCAAUGGAGUUUGUUCAUCUUUGAGUCCAUCCCUUCAAGAGCGGAUAGUACAUAAGAACUCACCAGUAGAGGUUCAGGAAGUGCUGUUGUCUAAUAUCAUGGGGCAGCUGGAGAUUGUGAGUAAUUCAAACGUCUCUUUACCUCAACGGACUCUCUCAUACCUGCUCUUAUUGUUCACACUGCCAAUCUGGAGUGCCACAACCUUAUGGGACAGGUAUCAUAAAUGGAUCACUAAUGCUAUGAAUGUAGCAUAUUGGCUUUGGCAUGGUGUUAAGCUUUUCAUGAUCUUCAUACUCAAAAUUGUACUGUCCUCAAUGAGGAAAGCCCUUGGAGACAUAAUGCUGAGUCUGAUCAGUUUCAUACCUGCACAAGUUCACGAUGAGCAGCAUAGACGCAGAGAGCUGGCUGAGAGACACAUGGCCUCCUCUAAUCUGAACGGUCACGUCUCUGCUGCUUUCCCGUCGAGUCCCUCCAUGGCACAGACCCUCCCAAACCUCUACACACUCCUGAUUUCACUAGAGACAGCAGAGAGCAAGUGGAGAAGACGCAAGAUAGAGUAUGGGGACCAAACGCCUCCUGCCGGACACUGAGAGAUGCUGCAACUGAAAAUACUGCAUUUGACGUGUACAGAAUUUCACUGAGAGCAGCACUACUACAUUACGAUAAGGAUAUUAAUUAUAUGAUUCUUGAAGUCGGCUUUCAUUUUUUUUUUUUUUUUUUAAGAAAAUGAACUCAUGUUAAGAUAAGAUACUGGUUUAAGAUUAGACCAAUAUACAUCUAAGAGAAAUAUUAGUUUUAAAGAUUAGAAGAUUUAGACCCUUUCCUGAGUUUUUUUUUCAUGGGCGGUGCCAGAAUCUGGAGCAAUAUAAGUUGAUGUGUAUUUCUCAUAAAUGUUAGAUGAGGGCAGUUAUAUUAGUGCAGGUUGUUACAUGUGAUAUUAAUGUUUUAAUGUUAUAUCACUGAUGCAUUAUUUGUUAGCAAAAAAUCACGUUGUAUUUAAAUUCCAUCAAUUUUUUUGCUUUUCUGACUUCUUACUUUUCUUUCUUUUUUUAACAUUAAAACAUACAUUUUUAGAUGAGUGAGAAUCGAUCCUUAUAGCUUCUUAUAUAAUCAGUGACCAUAUGACAAAUGUCACUUAGCAUCAGUGGGGUUUGAACAGAAUAAACAGAAGUUCGCAACAAAUGUUUGGUGUGGC
ensembl:lncRNA